UACAGAGGUUGCAAGCGUUGUUCGGGAUUAUUGGGCGUAAAGCGCGUGUAGGCGGGAUGAUAAGUCGCGUGUGAAAUCCCUCGGCUCAACCGAGGAAGUGCGCGCGAAACUGUCAUUCUUGAGUGCCGGAGAGGGUGGCGGAAUUCCCGGUGUAGAGGUGAAAUUCGUAGAUAUCGGGAGGAACACCAGUGGCGAAGGCGGCCACCUGGACGGACACUGACGCUGAGACGCGAAAGCGUGGGGAGCAAACAGG
rnacentral:rRNA from 1 species